UACGUAGGGUGCAAGCGUUUAAUCGGAAUUACUGGGCGUAAAGCGUGCGCAGGCGGUGAUGUAAGACAGGUGUGAAAUCCCCCGGGCUUAACCUGGGAACUGCAUUUGUGACUGCAUCGCUGGAGUGCGGCAGAGGGGGGAUGGAAUUCCGCGUGUAGCAGUGAAAUGCGUAGAUAUGCGGAGGAACACCGAUGGCGAAGGCAAUCCCCUGGGCCUGCACUGACGCUCAUGCACGAAAGCGUGGGGAGCAAACAGG
rnacentral:rRNA from 1 species